rnacentral:misc_RNA from 1 species
ACACCUCAACUCUUCACGGUUUUCCGUGAUGAGCUUGGACUUUGGGGGGUUUUGCUGGCCUACGGUUGGCUCCUCUAAAAUAAAUCAGCUUGCCAGUGUUUGGUGGGUACCAUGGGUGUGAUAACUAUCUACGCUUGUGGUUUUCCGCCAGGUAACCUUCAGCAGUGGAGGUUCGCUGGAGCUCACAGAUGUCUCUCCUCAGUGAGGAUGGGGCCCUUUGAAU